rnacentral:lncRNA from 1 species
CCCAAUCCCAGGAAUCCCGGCCAGAUCCCUCUGCACAGGACAGAAAUAGAUUGUAAUUGACAGAUGACAGGCUCUGGCCAAGUCCUGGUGCUUCAGAAGGGGGGAUGCAGGGAUAAGGGCUAUUAUUAUCCCUGUUAUUUUUUAUUUGGGAAGUGCUCCUACCGCCUCAAGCGCUCCCGGGAUUGCCGGCAAGAGCCUUCCUGUCCUUGGAACACGGGAUUUCUGGGAUCCAAGGGUGUGACUGGAGAUGAGCUAUGAGCUGUGGGAUGGAUGUGCUAACAACCUUUGGCAGAAAGGAGAGGACUGGACCAGCACUUCAUCCCGGCUGGAGACAUUCCAGGGCCAAGGAAUUGCCACACCAAGGAGCGGCUGGGAAGUGAGAGUCGGACAAAGCGGCGGAAGCCAGGGUGAAACAUCUCACAAAGGCCAACUAUCGCCCGGCUUUCCCAAGCAGACAUUAUUCCAUGCCACAGCAUUGGAUACAACUGGAGCCCAACUUGGCUUUGAAGCCUAGCAGCGCCUGCCUGGAAUAUCCAGCUCCAGCUCCAAUGGAGGUGUUCCCUGUGCCUCCAAAGCAGGAGAUUCACACCUGAGCACACUGCAGGUCAAUGCUAUCCAACAGCACCGCUUCCAUUUUCACCAAAGGAAACUCAAACCACCCCAAUUCCCACCCAUGCUGGGACACCCUCGGCGAUCCAGAGGCAGAUUCCCAUUGUUACAGCUGUCAAGAGGAGAUGCCUGGGAAAGGAGCUCAAUAAACAGAGAGAGAAUGAACA